UUUUUUUUUUUUUUCCAUUCUUUUCAAAAGUACAUGUUCCAAAUACAAUCUUGCAAACUCUCAGCAGUAUUUUUAUUCAAUAUUUCAGUAUUUUCAUAAACAACUUCAGUCUGAAAAAAAAAUGUUAAGAAGCAAAGACAGACUACUUUAGCAGAAGCCAGAAACAAAUCUGAGGACUUUCUUGAGGACUCAUCAGUGACUAAAGGAAGCUCUGCUCAUUUGCAUCACUAUUCUGGUGCUUGAGUCAAAACGAGUGCAUUUUUGUAUUUGAAGAAGUUUCUUAGUGGUUGCAUAUAGAGUAAUGUGCCAGAGAAACUGGGGGAUUUUUCGACAUAUUUGUUUUAUUUAUGAAAUAGACACCUGCUGUUUACUUUAGAUUUCCCUGGAAGCCUUUGUAAGAUUGAGUGAGACAGUGGUUAAUAUCAUAUAUUUUCAAGAUCUUUUUCCUUGGCUGUGUAGAACUGGGCUAUUUGUAAUAAAAACUUUUUAAUUUGUGAAGAAUUUGCUGCUAAAGCUCUCCCAGUUUUUCUCUAAAAGUAGAUUUUCCAGAGCUGACUCACAGGUCAUGCUCUGAUAUAAACAGGGGAAAGACAGCACAGGCCAGCACACAGCAUUUCAACAUAAUAAAAUGUUUCAGCAAUGCAGCUACAAAAAGAUGCUCCCAGUACAGCUCCUGUGAGUCACAAAACUUUCAGGAUUACUCCUUUAUAUGCCAUCCAUCCACACAGAGCAGUCACAGUUCUGGCACAUUCAGUCUGUCCUUCAGGAGGUGUCGGCUGAUACCUCUUCCAUCUAAGGGCUAUUUCACAUGGCUCCUAGGUGUUCCAGCAGCCUGAACAGCUGGAUUGUUUUUUAGAAACCAGUGGGAAACCAUUAGCCUUUUCAUCAACGAUCUCAAGAUUCCUUCAGUGAAGAAAAUUUUGUGGGAACGUGGGUUUAUUUCAACUUAAGACCCAAGAAACCUCAUUGCUUAGCGUUUUAUAGCUGCUGCCCAAUCCAUCUUGCUUUGGAAUACAAGCUGGGUUGCAUUGCAUUGGUUGCAUCAGUCAGCCUUUUCUUAUAAAGGACACCCUGUCAGCUCUCUCUGAAGGCAUGACCGUAGGGCAGAGGGGAUCUGGGCUCCCACACAUGACCUGGCCAUCCACUGCCUCCUCAGACGUAAUGGCUUGACACAGGACAAGGCAGGCUAUGGUCCCCAGGUACUGCCACACCUUCAUUUCAGAAGUUUAGGCAUUAUUGUAGUUAAUACAACUAGUUCCCUGGAGGCAGAGUGAGGAGGACACCGUACUCUCUCAGACCUGAAUCUAUGAAGAAUAGCUGAAAAACUUAUAUAUUAAAAACUCAUCCUGGUCCUUAAGUGUUAAGAAGGUAACUAACUCCUUCAGACACAGUUUGUUACUGCUUUCCAAAGCUGGGCAGCCCAAAUAAGUGCUGCCCUUUGCUCUGGAAUGUCAACUGCUACUGCUAGCAGUGUUUUACUCAACAGUGGUGAGCAUUAAUAACCACUAAUUAGUUACAAUUAAUGGUUGAGAUGGGAAAUGGCUCAAGAGAGUGGCCCUUUCAGGCAGCUGUGGACCAUUGGGUGUAUUGAUGGUCAUACCUGUGUUCUCCUUAUCACAAGAAAUGCAGGAACCACAGGGGAAACAAGUCCAAAGUCCUUCAUUAUGGAGCCAGACUCACAUAAAUGUAGGUACCAAGGUAUCAAGGUGGGGCACAUAUUUUCCAUUUACCUCUUUAGAGAGGCAGAGCCCUUAUUUACUUCACCCAAGACUUUUCCCACUUUAAUACAUGCCCUCUCUUACAUUUUAGAAAACUACAUUUACCCUCUAAUAACACCUGGUAUUUUACUCACAAAAAAAGACCACCUGACAGAAGUGUAAUAGCAUAGUCAGGAGUGGCAGGCUGGCUGCUGGACUUGCACUUUCAGGCUGAAGGACAGUGCUCUUCUUCUCUCAGAUCAAUGUCUUUAGCUACUAAGUGCCAAAAGUGACCAAAAGCAGGGUGGCACAACUGUGGAAAAAAAAUAUAAGGGUUUCCAUUCCCUUAUGUGCUCAUGUAUUGUCCUACAAAGGCCAUUCCAGAAAGUUUGUUACUUUCUGAUCCUUUUUUUUAUUCUAAAUGCCUGUACUGUCAUACAGGCUGACUGAAGUACUGCAGUUAUUAUAAAAUAAUCACAGAAAUUUGGGAGAGCAAUGUUCUUGUACCAGCUGCCUCUGCACAAAUAAUCCUUGAAAAUGUAAAAAGAGCAAAUGUGUGUCAGAUUUUGCCAUGGGUCAAAGGACAAGUUGAAGAAUCAUCUAUGGCUGUGCAGCUGCAAACAACAGCAGGGAGCUCUGACAGUCCUGUGCUCUUUCAGAAGACCUCUUGUCCCAGGUUUGUAUCACAUGAAUUAUCACAAUUAUCAUGAGACACUUUACAGGCUAUCAAGGUACUUCAUGACAUUAAGCCCUUCUUUAGUCAACUCUGUCACCAAGGCAACAGAAGUGCACUGUCAAAGUGAUAUAUUCCAUGCUCAGGUGUUCGCCAUGCUAAAUGUGAUCUUGUCAGGAGUGGAUGAACUGAAGUGAUUAAACUUUUGGAUGAGUCUGAUUAACUGAUUAGUCUACAAUCAAAACAGCUCUUUUCAAAAUUGUGCUCUAUGUCUUCGAAGAAACAGAGAAAAUAUGGCAUGAAUUGUAAGGUAUACUUCUCCCCGUGAAUUAGUUUUUGCGGUAUUUACAUCAAAAUCACAUUACUAUGGUGUUCAGUGAAACUUAGAAGCCAGAAAUUGCAUAUAUGUUAUCAGACUAUAGGAAAAGGAUUAAUGGGGAGAUUUUCAUAAGGUUGCCUUGAAGGCAUAAGAAGAAAAAACAUCAUAUCAAGCUUCUUGUGAUUUGUGGUUAUGAGUGCUUAGUCAUGAAUGUAUGUAUAGCUUUAGCACCAUGUGGCUAUGAGUGCAUAAAAUGGCAUUUGCAUUGAUAUCACCAGUUAGAAAAUCAAGUCCACAAUUAAGACAGAAAUAGAUUUUAAUUACAAAUGAAGGUUAUGUAAGUGUAAGUGCAGAUGGAAUAAUUAGGGCCUUUACAGUGAAAUUCUGAAUGCUUGUUCAUGAAGACAUAAGAAGUUAUAACAACAUCUGGUUCAAUAAGAGAAUAGAAUACUCUUUUCAUUUUUAAGUACCUGCUAAUGUGAAAAGAAAAUGUCUCUGAACUGGAACACUUGCAAAGUGCACACACUGCACUUUGAAAGACAUAGCUGCAUGUUGUUUAUUUAUUCAUGUUGAAUGUUUUAAACUAAGGCAUGACAAGCAAUGCAUAAAGAAGUAGAUCAACUAAUUCAAUCCUUUCCACUGUGAGUCAUGUUAUCCAGGCUGCACAGGGAAAACAAAGUGACACCUUGCUGAAAACCAGCAGACAGCACAGAGACCACCCCUUUACAAACACUUCACUGAAGGAUGUCCUUUAGAAGCUGGAGUUUUUUGCAGUUUUGAUUGUAUUGUAGUAAGAGAAACUGUAAUUCCUUUUUAGCCUCUGCUUAUGACUACAGCAAUUUGCCCAGUUUUUUUUUUUUUUGUUUGUUUUUUUUUUGGUUUUUUUUGAUAAAAAAGGGUACAUCAGUUCAGAUCACAGUUACUGUGAUUCUUUGAUUACAAGUCAAAUCCUAAAGUUUCAUAGUCCAUGA
ensembl:lncRNA